rnacentral:rRNA from 1 species
GAUGAACGCUGGCGGCGUGCCUAAUACAUGCAAGUCGAGCGAACAGACGAGGAGCUUGCUCCUCUGAUGUUAGCGGCGGACGGGUGAGUAACACGUGGAUAACCUACCUACAAGACUGGGAUAACUUCGGGAAACCGGAGCUAAUACCGGAUAACAUGUUGAACCGCACGGUUCAAUAGUGAAAGACGGUCUUGCUGUCACCUAUAGAUGGAUCCGCGCCGCAUUAGCUAGUCGGUAAGGUAACGGCUUACCAAGGCAACGAUGCGUAGCCGACCUGAGAGGGUGAUCGACCACACUAGAACUGAGACACGGUCCAGACUCCUGCGGGAGGCAGCAGUAGGGAAUCUUCCGCAAUGGACGAAAGCCUGACGGAGCAACGCCGCGUGAGUGAAGAAGGUCUUCGGAUCGUAAAACUCUGUUAUUAGGGAAGAACAAAUGUGUAAGUAACUAUGCACGUCUUGACGGUACCUAAUCAGAAAGCCACGGCUAACUACGUG